rnacentral:rRNA from 1 species
UCAUGGUCCGCCUGUUUAUCAAAAACAUGUCUUUUUGUUUAUAAUAUAAAGUCUAACCUGCCCACUGAUAAAUUAUUGAAGGGCCGCAGUAUAUUGACUGUGCAAAGGUAGCAUAAUCAUUUGUCUUUUAAUUGAAGGCUAGAAUGAAUGGUUGAAUGAAGUAUUGACUGUCUCAUUUUAAAAAAAAUAAAAAUUUAGCUUUUUAGUCAAAAGGCUUAAAUAAAUUUAAAGGACGAGAAGACCCUAUAGAUCUUUAUAAUAAUAUUAUUGUAAUAAAUAGAAAUUUUAAUAAUUAUAAUAUAAUUUAUUAUUUUAUUGGGGUGAUAGGAAAAUUUAUAAAACUUUUUUUUUAUUAAAACAUAGAUUAAUGAUUUAAUGAUCCAAUAUUAUUGAUUAAAAGUUUAAGUUACCUUAGGGAUAACAGCGUAAUUUUUUUGAAGAGUUCUUAUCGAUAAAAAAGAUUGCGACCUCGAUGUUGAAUUAAAGGUUAUUUCUAGAUGUAGAAGUUUAGAGUUUAGGUCUGUUCGACCUUUGAAUCUUUACAUGAUCUGG